AUUGAACGCUGGCGGCAGGCCUAACACAUGCAAGUCGAACGAGUGGCGGACGGGUGAGUAAUGUCUGGGAAACUGCCUGAUGGAGGGGGAUAACUACUGGAAACGGUAGCUAAUACCGCAUACCAUCAGAUGUGCCCAGAUGGGAUUGGCUUGUUGGUGGGGUAAAGGCUCACCAAGGCGACGCUCCCUAGCUGGGCUGCGAGGAUGACCAGCCACACUGGAACUGAGACACGUGCAAGACUCCGACGGGAGUCAGCAGUGGGGAAGAGUGCACAAUGGGCGCAAGCCUGAUGCAGCAAUGCCGCGUGUAUGAAGAAGGCCUUCGGGUUGUAAAGUACUUUCAGCGGGGAGGCGUUACCCGCAGAAGAAGCACCGGCUAACUCCGUGCCAGCAGCCGCGGUAAUUC
rnacentral:rRNA from 1 species